rnacentral:rRNA from 1 species
GACGGACGCUGGCGGCGUGCCUAACACAUGCAAGUCGAACGGAGGUUAGUGCUUCGGUAUUAACCUUAGUGGCGAACGGGUGAGUAACGCGUGAGGAACCUGCCUUUCAGUGGGGGACAACAGUUGGAAACGACUGCUAAUACCGCAUGAUGUGACGGAAUCGCAUGAUUCUGUUACCAAAGCUGAGGCGCUGAAAGAUGGACUCGCGUCUGAUUAGAUAGUUGGUGAGGUAACGGCUCACCAAGUCGACGAUCAGUAGCCGGACUGAGAGGAUGAACGGCCACAUUGGGACUGAGAUACGGCCCAGACUCCUACGGGAGGCAGCAGUGGGGAAUAUUGGGCAAUGGGGGAAACCCUGACCCAGCAACGCCGCGUGAAGG